rnacentral:rRNA from 1 species
UGUUUCGGCAAGGGGGUCAUCCCGACUUACCAACCCGAUGCAAACUGCGAAUACCGGAGAAUGUUAUCACGGGAGACACACGGCGGGUGCUAACGUCCGUCGUGAAGAGGGAAACAACCCAGACCGCCAGCUAAGGUCCCAAAGUCAUGGUUAAGUGGGAAACGAUGUGGGAAGGCCCAGACAGCCAGGAUGUUGGCUUAGAAGCAGCCAUCAUUUAAAGAAAGCGUAAUAGCUCACUGGUCGAGUCGGCCUGCGCGGAAGAUGUAACGGGGCUAAACCAUGCACCGAAGCUGCGGCAGCGACGCUGAUGCGUUGUUGGGUAGGGGAGCGUUCUGUAAGCCUGUGAAGGUGUGCUGUGAGGCAUGCUGGAGGUAUCAGAAGUGCGAAUGCUGACAUAAGUAACGAUAAAGCGGGUGAAAAGCCCGCUCGCCGGAAGACCAAGGGUUCCUGUCCAACGUUAAUCGGGGCAGGGUGAGUCGACCCCUAAGGCGAGGCCGAAAGGCGUAGUCGAUGGGAAACAGGUUAAUAUUCCUGUACUUGGUGUUACUGCGAAGGGGGGACGGAGAAGGCUAUGUUGGCCGGGCGACGGUUGUCCCGGUUUAAGCGUGUAGGCUGGUUUUCCAGGCAAAUCCGGAAAAUCAAGGCUGAGGCGUGAUGACGAGGCACUACGGUGCUGAAGCAACAAAUGCCCUGCUUCCAGGAAAAGCCUCUAAGCAUCAGGUAACAUCAAAUCGUACCCCAAACCGACACAGGUGGUCAGGUAGAGAAUACCAAGGCGCUUGAGAGAACUCGGGUGAAGGAACUAGGCAAAAUGGUGCCGUAACUUCGGGAGAAGGCACGCUGAUAUGUAGGUGAAGCGACUUGCUCGUGGAGCUGAAAUCAGUCGAAGAUACCAGCUGGCUGCAACUGUUUAUUAAAAACACAGCACUGUGCAAACACGAAAGUGGACGUAUACGGUGUGACGCCUGCCCGGUGCCGGAAGGUUAAUUGAUGGGGUCAGCGCAAGCGAAGCUCUUGAUCGAAGCCCCGGUAAACGGCGGCCGUAACUAUAACGGUCCUAAGGUAGCGAAAUUCCUUGUCGGGUAAGUUCCGACCUGCACGAAUGGCGUAAUGAUGGCCAGGCUGUCUCCACCCGAGACUCAGUGAAAUUGAACUCGCUGUGAAGAUGCAGUGUACCCGCGGCAAGACGGAAAGACCCCGUGAACCUUUACUAUAGCUUGACACUGAACAUUGAGCCUUGAUGUGUAGGAUAGGUGGGAGGCUUUGAAGUGUGG